AGUGAACGCUGGCGGUAGGCCUAACACAUGCAAGUCGAACGGCAGCACAGUAAGAGCUUGCUCUUACGGGUGGCGAGUGGCGGACGGGUGAGGAAUACAUCGGAAUCUACUUUUUCGUGGGGGAUAACGUAGGGAAACUUACGCUAAUACCGCAUACGACCUACGGGUGAAAGCAGGGGAUCUUCGGACCUUGCGCGAUUGAAUGAGCCGAUGUCGGGUUAGCUAGUUGGCGGGGUAAAGGCCCACCAAGGCGACGAUCCGUAGCUGGUCUGAGAGGAUGAUCAGCCACACUGGAACUGAGACACGGUCCAGACUCCUACGGGAGGCAGCAGUGGGGAUUAUUGGACAAUGGGCGCAAGCCUGAUCCAGCCAUACCGCGUGGGUGAAGAAGGCCUUCGGGUUGUAAAGCCCUUUUGUUGGGAAAGAAAAGCAGCAGGUUAAUACCCCGCUGUUCUGACGGUACCCAAAGAAUAAGCACCGGCUAACUUCGUG
rnacentral:rRNA from 1 species